GAUGAAGAACGUAGCGAAAUGCGAUAAGUAAUGUGAAUUGCAGAAUUCAGUGAAUCAUCGAAUCUUUGAACGCACAUUGCGCCCGCCAGUGUUCUGGCGGGCAUGCCUGUUCGAGCGUCAUUACAACCCUCAGGCCCCCGGGCCUGGCGUUGGGGAUCGGCGGAGCCCCCCGUGGGCACACGCCGUCCCCCAAAUACAGUGGCGGUCCCGCCGCAGCUUCCAUCGCGUAGUAGCUAACACCUCGCGACUGGAGAGCGGCGCGGCCACGCCGUAAAACACCCAACUCUUCUGAAGUUGACCUCGAAUCAGGUAGGAAUACCCGCUGAACUUAAGCAUAUCAAUAAGCGGAGGA
rnacentral:misc_RNA from 1 species